AGCGAACGCUGGCGGCAGGCUUAACACAUGCAAGUCGAACGCAUCCUUCGGGGUGAGUGGCAGACGGGUGAGUAACACGUGGGAACGUACCUUUUGGUUCGGAACAACUGAGGGAAACUUCAGCUAAUACCGGAUACGCCCUUUUGGGGAAAGAUUUAUCGCCGAAAGAUCGGCCCGCGUCUGAUUAGCUAGUUGGUGAGGUAAUGGCUCACCAAGGCGACGAUCAGUAGCUGGUCUGAGAGGAUGAUCAGCCACACUGGGACUGAGACACGGCCCAGACUCCUACGGGAGGCAGCAGUGGGGAAUAUUGGACAAUGGGGGCAACCCUGCUCCAGCCAUGCCGCGUGAGUGAUGAAGGCCUUAGGGUUGUAAAGCUCUUUCGGCGGGGACGAUAAUGACGGUACCCGCAGAAGAAGCCCCGGCUAACUUCGUGCCAGCCGCCGCCGUAACAC
rnacentral:rRNA from 1 species